rnacentral:lncRNA from 1 species
GAGUUUUCCUUGCAACAGCAAUACAAGAUUAAAAAUUAAGCACACAUCUGUAGCUGCUAUACUGGAAAAGGAAGGAACCACCCCUCAAACCCUCAAAGAUCCUUUGGAAAACAACAAUACCGAACUGAAACCAAACAACCAAAGCCAAUAUGAAACAUUGCAUUAUAUUUUAAUUUUAUAUUACAGCAUAUUUGAAUGAAACAUUCUGGCAGCUUGUGCUAACUGCUACAUUUUUCAGCAAUUGCCAUAAUUGCAUGAGCAGAGUAAGUAUUUUGGGUAAAAUAACCUUUGAUGUCAUAUGAUCAUAGCAAAGCAGAAUAGCUUGCUAUAAAAUGAUAAUGGAGGUAAACA